GUCGAGAAUCUUCCGCAAUGGGCGCAAGCCUGACGGAGCGACACCGCGUGCAGGAUGAAGGCCUUCGGGUUGUAAACUGCUGUCACGCUAUAGGAAUGGUCUGGUGUAAAUAAUGCCAGACUUGACUAAAGCGAGAGGAAGCACCGGCUAACUCCGUGCCAGCAGCCGCGGUAAGACGGAGGGUGCAAACGUUGUUCGGAAUCACUGGGCAUAAAGCGCACGUAGGCUGCGCGCUAAGUCAGGUGUGAAAUCCCCCGGCUCAACCGGGGAACUGCACCUGAUACUGGCGUGCUCGAGGACGGUAGGGGUGAGUGGAACUCCAGGUGGAGCGGUGAAAUGCGUAGAUAUCUGGAGGAACACCGGUGGCGAAAGCGGCUCACUGGACCGUCUCUGACGCUGAGGUGCGAAAGCUAGGGUAGCAAACGGGAUUAGAUACCCUAGUAGUCC
rnacentral:rRNA from 1 species